ensembl:misc_RNA Y_RNA Y RNA
UGGUCCGAAGCUAGUGAGUUAUCUCAUUUGGUGGUUCAGAGUCAGUUACAGAUUAAACUCCUUAUUCUACUCCUCCCCUGCCCCCACUCCUGCACUUGACUACUCUUUU